ACCUGGUUAGCUCAGUUGGUAGAGCGCUCCACUGGAAAUCAAGAAGUCCAAGGUUCGAUACCCGAACCAGGCG
rnacentral:tRNA from 1 species